rnacentral:rRNA from 1 species
GGAGGAUCCGAGCGUUAUCCGGAUUUAUUGGGUUUAAAGGGAGCGUAGGCCGGAGAUUAAGCGUGUUGUGAAAUGUAGAUGCUCAACAUCUGAACUGCAGCGCGAACUGGUUUCCUUGAGUACGCACAAAGUGGGCGGAAUUCGUGGUGUAGCGGUGAAAUGCUUAGAUAUCACGAAGAACCCCGAUUGCGAAGGCAGCUUGCUAAACUGUAACUGACGUUCAUGCUCGAAAGUGUGGGUAUCAAACAGGAUUAGAUACCCUGGUAGUCCACACGGUAAACGAUGGAUACUCGCUGUUGGCGAUAUACUGUCAGCGGCCAAGCGAAAGCAUUAAGUAUCCCACCUGGGGAGU